CCUACGGGAGGCAGCAGUGAGGAAUAUUGGUCAAUGGGCGAGAGCCUGAACCAGCCAAGUAGCGUGAAGGAUGACUGCCCUAUGGGUUGUAAACUUCUUUUAUAUGGGAAUAAAAUGCAGCACGUAUACCUUUUUGCAUGUACUUUAUGAAUAAGGAUCGGCUAACUCCGUGCCAGCAGCCGCGGUAAUACGGAGGAUCCGAGCGUUAUCCGGAUUUAUUGGGUUUAAAGGGAGCGUAGAUGGGUUGUUAAGUCAGUUGUGAAAGUUUGCGGCUCAACCGUAAAAUUGCAAUUGAUACUGGCAGCCUUGAGUACAGUAGAGGUAGGCGGAAUUCGUGGUGUAGCGGUGAAAUGCGUAGAUAUCACGAAGAACUCCGAUUGCGAAGGCAGCCUACUGGACUGCCACUGACGUUGAUGCUCGAAAGUGUGGGUAUCAAACAGGAUUAGAUACCCUAGUAGUC
rnacentral:rRNA from 1 species